rnacentral:rRNA from 1 species
AAGUCCCGCACCGAGCGCAUCCCUUAUCAUUUGUUGCCAGCGGUUCGGCCGGGAACUCAAAGGAGACUGCCAGUGAUAAACUGGAGGAAGGUGGGGAUGACGUCAAGUCAUCAUGGCCCUUACGAGUAGGGCUACACACUUGCUACAAUGGCGUAUACAAAGAGAAGCGACCUCGCGAGAGCAAGCGUACCUCAUAAAGUACGUCGUAGUCCGGAUUGGAGUCUGCAACUCGACUUCAUGAAGUCGGAAUCGCUAGUAAUCGUAGAU